CACGGGGGGAGCAAGCGUUGUUCGGAUUCAUUGGGCGUAAAGAGCUCGUAGGUGGCUCUGUAAGUCGGAGGUGAAAGACCACGGCUCAACCGUGGAAACGCCUUCGAUACUGUGGAGCUUGAGGCUGGGAGAGGAAAUCGGAAUUCCUGGUGUAGCGGUGAAAUGCGUAGAUAUCAGGAGGAACACCGGUGGCGAAGGCGGAUUUCUGGACCAGUUCUGACACUGAGGAGCGAAAGCCAGGGGAGCAAACAGG
rnacentral:rRNA from 1 species